UACGGGGGGGGGGCAAGCGUUUGUUCGGAAUUACUGGGCGUAAAGGGCUCGUAGGCGGCCAACUAAGUCGGAUGUGAAAUCCCCAGGCUCAACCUGGGAACUGCAUCCGAUACUGGAUGGCUUGAAUUCGGGAGAGGGAUGCAGAAUUCCAGGUGUAGCGGUGAAAAUGCGUAGAUAUCUGGAGGAAUACCGGUGGCGAAGGCGGCAUCCUGGACCGACAUUGACGCUGAGGAGCGAAAGCCAGGGGAGCAAACGGG
rnacentral:rRNA from 1 species